UUACAUACAGUCAUAGUGGACUUGCAAUCGUUAGUCACAUUUAAUGCAUGCACGUGCUUCGUUCUGCCACAAACUCUUUGUAUAGUUGAAGGUUAUGCAUUCCUUCUGCAUUAACCUUUUCGCUCUCAGUUUCUUUCAUUUGGUUUUCUUCAUCUACGGUCUAGCAGCUAUUCUAAUGCUUUAGAGAUGUUUCUCUUCUCUCUUGCGCCUUUCUGUUAGCUCUUUAUUUUCUAUUGGCUUUCCCUGAUCCCUGUGUCAAAUUCUUAGCUUCGCGCCGGCUUUAAUCAGGUACGUCCUUGUUUUUCUUUACUGCAUUUCCUGGUUGACCUUUUCCUCGUUUGCUCUUAGUUAAUCUGCAGUUACUUAUUUUCUUUUCUUGUGGUUGAAGUUAUGUUUCUAUCAUUUUUUUCCUCCCGAUUAAUUACCUAAGAAUAUCUGUUUUGUUUCCAUGAUUUUUGUGAAAAAACUCAGUACUUCGCGCAGAAUCAUUUUUCUUUGUUGCAGCUUUUUAGUCUGCAUUAACUCUGAAUUUUUUUACGUUAGCUGACUCCAUAAACUAUUAACAAAUUUAAAAAAUCUCCUUACUUUUCCCAUUUUGGUGUAUUUUGCUCAUGCUCACUGUGUGUGCCUUUUCCAUGAUCAUACCAGUUCAUUUAGUGCACCCAAGUUUUCCACGAUCCUAUUAGCUGUUUAUUAUUCAGGUAAAGCAAUCCUUUCUUCGCUUAAUUGCUUCUCCUUUGCUUACUGCUCAGUCUAUUCUGCCUUGUUCUAUUUGAUUUUGCAUACCAUGUUUGUUAUCUCUUUGCCUAUUGAAUAGCGAUCAUCUAUAUAUAAAAAAGGCACAUGCUUUUUGCUUUCAUAUUCAUGAUCUGCGAAAUUUCCAGAGACUUUUACAUAGUAUGGGCACCCCGCGACAGCCGCGGGGUCGAAUGCCUAGUACAAUUUGAAAGGGUUAACUUAACCUCCAAUAUCAGGCUCCAUUUUGCACUUUGGUUCUCAUAAUUCAUUUAAUUAGCUAUUUAGACCUCAAUAAUAGGUCAAAAAACAUUUGCUUCUAAGAAUUGUGCAAAGGAUCACAUUUUUAGCCCUUAAACAGUUAAACGUUACUAAAACAUUUUAGCCCUUUAAGAAUUGGGCAAAAAAAAUCACCAAAAACAUUUUCCCCUCUAAGAAUUGGGCAAAAAACAUUUUUAGCCCUUAAAUUCUUUGACUGCAAGUUUCAUUUAAAUGCCACAAUAGUUAACGGUCAACUUUGUCGUUGAAAGGAAAGAAAUUUAAUUUCUUAUAUAAAAGAUUAGAACUAGGCUGUGUUAACAAACAUUACAAAAUAAAGGAUUAAUAACACUUUGCUCCCCUGAAUUUAGGAGAUUGUCACACUUUACCUUUCUCAACCUUAAAUAUAUAUGUAUAUAUAUAUAUAUAUAUAUAUAUAUAUAUAUACUUUAUUCCCAUAAAGACUAGUCAAAGUUAAAAAUAAAAAAAAUUGAGUGAAAUAACAUUAUUUCCCUUUUAUUCAUGAAAUUAUUUAUAACUUAAUAUCAUUUCCUUUCAUUGCCAAAAGAUUUAUAACUUCUUUAUCAUAUCAUUAUUAAAAAAAUCAAAUGAAAAAAAGUUAAAGAAGGUUAAUAUUUAGUUUAUAUCCUUGACAUUUUUCCUGUUGGAUUAAUGUUUACUUCUAUAUAUGUUUUGUUCAAUUUAUUAGACUUUAAGUCAAACAAAAUUAAUAAAUAACAUAAUACUAAAAAUAAGUGUAAUUAUCAAAAUUUAUAUGAAAAGGUAAUAUCAAACUCAUUUUUCUAAAACAAAUUUUUAUUAUUUUAAUUUAUUUAAACUUCUAGACUAAUAUUGUUGUCAUUUUUCUAUUUAUUAAAUUAGUCCAAUAUGAAAUUCGUAAUCAAAUUUGCUAAAAAUGGUUGAUAUACCUCAGUUUUAAACAUAAAGAAGGAAAAUGGAGAAUAAAUGAAAUUUUAUUUUCUUGACAAGAAAAGGCAAUAAUAGUAAACUAUAAAUACAUCAAUAGAACAUGACAAUAGUUUGAGCCUAAAAUUUCACAUAAACUAAAAUAAUAAAAAACUACAUUUUUAAACAAAAAAAGUUUAGUAUUACCUCUUUUUGAAAAAGAAAUUUGGUAUUUGUGUUUAUUUAGUAUUGUGAUAUUUAUUCUUUUUUAUUUGACUUAAAUUAUAAUAAAUUGAAUAAAGAAUAUAUAAAUGUGAAUGCUAACCACUGAUAGAAAAAAUUUUAAGGAUAUAAACUAAAUUUAAACAUUAUUUAACUUUUUUUAGUUUGAUAUUGUUGUAAGUUGAUAUGAUAGAGAAGAUGUAUACUUUUUUAGCAACCAAAGGAAAUAAUACUAAGUUAUAGAUAAUUUUAUGAAUAAAUGGGCAAUAAUCAUUAUACUCACCUUUUUGUAUUUUUAAUUUUGACUAAUUGUCAUAGGGGUAAAGUAUAUGAUAAGCGCAGGAUGUGCUUGUAAGAAUAAUCUAUUUGCUACGCCGCAAGUUUUAAAUUUAUAAAUUUCUAAAUAUCCCGUAUACUUCUACAAGUUUACAAGUCUCGUUUGAAUAUAAGGUAUUAAGAGUCGUCGAUUCCAUAAGAAAGAUUGAUCAACUAUCGACACUAUUCAAACUUCUUUAUUAUUUAUUAUCAACAAAUUGGAGAAAAGUAAAACUAUGCUAGAAAAUAAUAACGGAAAGGUCCUCAAGUCAAGGUAUCUCUAACUACUCAAGCAAAUGCAAUUCUUAGACAAUUGAGCACUACUAUCUCGACUAGUUAUGGUGUAAUUUCUUAAGAUAUGUGAAACCCGCUUUCACCAGUAAAUCAAUUGUACUUAUAGCUAAUCCAUACCCACUUUCAUGGACAUAAAGUUAGCUAUAGAUUCAUUUACUUCUAUGAAAUCACAUGGAAUAAUAUCACAAAAGGUACAAAGGUGCAUCUCUACUUUCAUUAGUGUACUCCUUAAAUUUAGUAAUUUCUUAAACUAGUGUUAAACUCCAAAUUGUUGUUGCAAUUCAACACCUUGUGAUUAUCAUAAUUAAUGGCCAGUUGAUCAUAAUUAUAUAAGCAAAAGUAUUAAAUAACAUGCUUAAAAUAAUUGUUGGGCUUGGAUUUUAUUGGUGGGAUAAAACCGAAAUCCAACAAUAAUAGUAUCAAAUAACCAAGUAAUCAACACAAAGCAAUCAUAAAAAAUUCAACCAAGGCAUAAACUUUAAAAUAACAUCAUAAACAUAAGAUUCGUGAAUUGCCAAACAAUAGAAUCCAAGCCAGCAAAAAGUGAAAACAACAACAAAAUUAUACAGACAGAAUGAGAUAAAGGGAAACAAAGGGCAAAACAACCUAACAACGAAGCCUAGCGUCUGCCUGAAGGAAUCAAGAUCUCACUCUUCAUAAUGAUUUCUUCUUCUCUGAAAAAGCAUGGUUCAUCUUCAUCAAUUCUUCCCAUUCUUCCUACACUAACACUAUAACAUCUAAACAAAUCAUCAAAAGCAUCCACCUUGCUAUUUCUCUGACAUAAUCCUCCCUUAUCAGAAUUAUUAUCCUCAUUGGUCUUGGAAUUCAUCAAUCGAUGAAGCUCCUUCCAUUUCUCAUCAUUUUUCAUAGCGUUCUUCAAACUUGCUCCAAAAUAUUUUGGCAUGUGGGAUACCCGGGGAGCAGGCAUGGCCAUCAUCAUGUUGCUACCAUAGACAACCCUUCCAUCGAAUUCAAUCAUGCUUUUAACGUAAAAAUCUCUAGCCUUGGCUAGAAAUCUCUUUGGUGCGGCAAUGUAUCGCCUUAGCUUACUUUGCCUACCCUCUUUGCUUCUCAUCUAGCUUAGUAUUUUCUUGUAGGAACUUAAAGAGCAAGAGAAAGAAGUUUUUGGUACGGUGUGGGGAGGGAGGUAAAAUAGUUUAUAUAGAUUGAUUUCAUUGUUUUGACUAUUGACAUGUUUGGUUGGUUUGAAAGAGAAUUCACAAAUGCUUGUUUGGAAUUAUCAGAAGUGAAGAAGAUACUUUGAAGAAUAUAGAAACAUACGGGAAAUGGAAUUUUUCGGGUCAUAGUUGCUGAUUGGCUGUUUUUGGCUUUGCAAAGUUUAUUUUAGUCUUCGUGUUGUCAUACAACAAUUAAAAGCUUUCGUACAGUGAAUAUGUUUUACACAUUUAAUAUAAUCUAAUUAACAAUCAAGAAUUUAAAGUUCUAUCCUAGGAGAAUUGGGUUCUCAGAUUUUUUCUUCUCAUUUUCAACUGAAAAAUAAAUAACGAAUGAAUUCUUUAUGACUUUAUGUCUUAUGUGAUUUUUUAGGUAGUUAUUUUUCCCGUUUUGUUUGAAUUAAUAUUAUGAUGAACAAAUGAAAUUCUUUUGCCUCAAAGAGAUUGUUCUCAUAUUUUGGGGUUAUGACCAAAAGAGCCAAAAAAAUGGAUAUAGUCCGGAAUAUUUUGUACAAUUAGAAUUACUGGGAGACAACAAAAGCAAAAGACUAUAAAAUACUAGUAAAAUAUAGUUGGCUGCCAAAAGCUGCAUUUGACUAUUGCUUUCUCUACUUUCAUGCCCAUUCUUUACCAUUAGACCUUCUCUUCUCGGAAAAUGAUGAUAUCAAAGUUCUUUGAAUGAUGCCCAGCUUUGGCAUUUUCCUACUCCAUACUUGGAUCUUUUACACUUAAGGUAAUUAAUGGAGGAUUUCAUAAUAAUCAUCUAGUUAUAUUCUUAUCAAAAAACAAUUUUUUAAUUGUAAUCCAUUAUCAUGUGACUGGUAUCAGUGAUACAUGAUGAGAUAAUUGUAACCGAACCAAUAAGAUUUACACCUUCAAAGUCUUGUGGUGACAAUUGGUUUGUGCCUUGCACUUUCAAUUCUCAUAACUUAGUAGCUAGCUAAAUUUCAAUACCGUUUUCUAUUUAACCAAGUUGGUAAUUAAUUAAACUCGAUCCUUCGGUUUGAAUUGUAUAAUCGAAAAAUAAUUGAUAAACAUUAAUGAGUUAGGUCAUUGCAUCAAGUAUUUUUGGAAUUAAUUAAUAUACUGCUCAAGAAAGCAACUUAAAAGCAUUUGUAAAAAUUGCAUGCAGAUAGAAAAUUUCAAGCAGAAACCUAUAAAAAAAAAAAUUGCACAUCUGGGAACUGAAAUCAAGUCAAUUUCCUAGCAGAAUAAGCCAAAACCAAGAAAUUAAGUUUCAACCUAGAUAGUUGUAUAAGCUAUUGUGUCAAUACCCAAAAUUUGUAGUUUAAAUUUAAAUUUAGAUGAUGUGGCAUUCAUCUAACUUCCCAAAUGUAUAUAUUGUCGGUAUAGGAAAUAUUAAUGGGUGGGGUUAAAUCCACACCCCUCUAGUCUAAAUCCACACCUUUUACACCAAAAUGUCUAUAAAGCCUAUAUUAUUUAUCAGGAUUUCAUAGGAACUUUUUCAAUACCAAAAUUAACCUUUUGUGGUGAGAAAAGUUGGCGCCAAUUAAGUUUAUUUUUUCCCCACUCAAUUGCGUCCUUUCAUCAUUCCUAUUCCUUACCUUCUGAUAUUCACGAACUAUAACAACAACUAUUAUCAUCAGCUAGAGAACUUCAAGCUUCUAGUUCCAAGUGAAUAUGAAAUCAUUGCCAUGAUCAUCAUUUGUUUUUUUAUUAUCAAUAGAUAUUUGAAAAUCAACUAUCACUCUUCAAUUUUGAUCCUGAAAUUUUUGUUUUUUUUAUUAUCAAUAGUAUUUUUCUGGUAAAUUUUUGCUAUGCUUUGGUAUAUUUUAGUUGAUGAUGAUAGUUGCUACUAUAAGUUUUCAGUAUUGGAAGCUAAGGACAGGGGACGAUAAAAUGAUGCAGUAAAGUGGGGGGAAAAAAUGAACUUGAUUGGCUCCAUCUUUUUCCACCACAAAAGAUUAGUUUUGGUAUUGAAGAUGUUCCUAUAAAAUCCUGAUAAAUAGUGUGGGUUUUAUGGACAUUUUGAUGUACAGGGUGUGAAUUUAGACUAGAGGGUUGUGGAUAUAGCCCUACCCAAUGUUAAUUCAUAUUGUUUUAGCCGACUUGCAAAUUGGGAUAUAAAAAGAUUCAGUAAGCACAACAGCUUUUACCAGAUGCAAGAGGCUUUUAUGCUCCAACAACUUUUUCUUACCUCAAUGUCAUCAAAAGUUGCCUGAAAAAAAAGUCUUCAAAAGUUUUAAAGAAGGGGUAAGAACCAUUUCAUUCAUGAUAGAAAACAUUUGAUGGUACAUAUUUUUGUCUAUCCUUUUUAGCAUCAUUAGAAACUAUUGACUGAGCUAUUUUAAUUUUUUUAACAAGUAUACUUUUGUACCAUAAAGCAGAGUGUUUAGGAUAUCUUGUAAACAACUCGUCAUUGUAAUCCACAAAGUGGAUGCCAAAGCGGAUUGAGUAGCCGAAAGCCCAUUCGAAAUUGUCCAUCAAUGACCAUACAAAGUAGCCACUCACAGUGACUUCAAAUUGCCUGUCAAAUUUGAUAUCAAUCAAUCUUGAUUGUGCUUGUCCAUUGAUAAUAAUAUUCUUCUAAGUAGAUGAAUUGUUUUUGACUAAAUAAAAAGUUAACAAACAAAUGCAUUGGGACUGUUAAAUUAACUAGAUUGCUGUUGAUGCACUUGGGUAAUUGGAUUUUGACUUGAUGAAUACUUCUACCUCAUAAACAUUUAUUAUCAUCUUCAAUUUUCCUAGGAGUUUAAUAAAUUCUUUUUUGGAGUAAAAUAUUUUUUAGUAUUUUUCUUAUAUAGUGUGGAAAAGUAUAAAGUUAAAGGGAGAUUAUAACUUGGAAAUCUCAUAGAUAUUAUGUCUGCAUAGUUUUUCCUGGACAGAUCAAGUAUGAUAUGAGUCAUCUAAAAAAAAAUAUUUGACAAAAUUUAUAAACUCACUUGAAUAUUUUGAUGAAGAUUAAAUAAGUAAAAAUACAUAAAAAAAAAAGAGAAACAACAACAAUUAAGAGAAACUUACUCAAUUGCUUGUAGGAUACAACAUAGGUGGUCAUGGAUAUAGUCUUUUCUUAUGUCGUCUUUGAUAGCUUCAAGAAUUGUCAUACUGUCAUUUCUUGCCUCAUUAAGCCCUAAGAAACAAGUUAUGGAGAAGGUAGAAAUAUUAAAGUACGUAAAUAGUUAAUUCUACUCUAUACCCCUAUUUAUUCAAAUUUCACUUAUUUCAUUCAUAGAUAUUUUUUCCCCCUUAAAAUUUUUGUAUGUGUCACAUGUUGAACAUACUAUUUGCAUAGCUAGCAAUUAUGACUCUCUCUCUUUUCUUAACAUGCUACAUAAAGAUAGAUACAUAGUCAUUUGUAAGCACAACUAACUAGUUUUUGUACUAUAUAUCUUUCAUGUGAAUAAUUUCGUUUCUAAUUUGUGUAAUCCAGUGAGGAAUUGAAGUAAAUUGGCACCAUAUUGAUAUGAUAUCACCAAAGGGGCAUCACCAAAACAAAGUGCAAUAUGAAAUUUGUUUUAGUUGCUAAUUUUGAAAUUUUAAUUUUGUCCUAAAUCUCCAGUUUAUGAACACGAAGCAAUAAACAUGUAUUUACUUUCAAACCGCAAAUGAAUUUGCUAUUACCGUU
rnacentral:lncRNA from 1 species